GGAGUGCACCUCAGGUAGAUCUUGCUCACCUGUUGGCAACUCGAGAUCAAGAGUUACGUACUCUCAAAGCUGAGAUGAAUCAAUUACAAUCUGAGCUUAGGCUUGCUCGAUCUAUUGUAGAGGAGAAGGAUGCUGAGAUUCAGCGUAUUCGCAAUGCAAACAAUCAGUAUGUAGAAGAAAACGAGAGGCUCAGAGCUAUUUUGGGAGAAUGGAGCAGCCGAGCAGCUAAGCUCGAACGUGCUUUGGAGCUGGAAAGGAUGUCAAACUUGGAACUGCAGAAAAAUAUAACCACACUGAAGAUUCAAAUGUGUGAAUAGUUCAGCCUGACUAACUGCUAGAUCUUCUUUUGCUGUGUACAAUAGAUCCUUGUGGUUCUGCUCUUCCUCGGACCCUGUGCAUAGCAGGAGCUUUCAUGCACUAGGCUGCCCGUUUUUAGAUCUUUUGCAAUACCAUUGUUGGAAAACCUAAUGGUUCCAUCUGCACAUGUACAGAUUAAGCUCAAACAAUUGUUUGCUCAUCUUUCAGACUUUAAGCUUUGUAUAGU
rnacentral:misc_RNA from 1 species